UAUUUAGCGUGGGUUUGAGAUUUUUCUUAUUGGGUUGGACAUGCUUAUUUGUAGUGUUGUAGUCCAUAUAAUUAGUAGGUCUAUUAGGUUUAGAGGUUAAAUUGGUGCCAGCAUCUGCGGUUAUACUUAGUCUUGAAAAUUAACAUAGGUAGGCUAUUUGUUAAAAAUGUUUAAUUUUUGGUGAAAUAAAUUAGGUUUUUUUUUUUACUAAAGAGGUCAGGUCUAAUAGAACCAGGAUUAGAGACCCUGUUACUAAUUAUUAAAUCUAGUGCUUAUAGCUAUAAGUUACAUGGUUUGGCGGCUUUAUUUUUUUAGAGGAGUUUGCUUAUAAUCGAUAUGGCUCGUUGGCUUAUAUUUACUUUAUUUAUGUACACCGUCAUUUAGUUAAUUUUAAUAGAAAAAUUAAGAUAAGUUAGUUAAAUAGAUUAGAUCAAGGUGCAGAGUAGGUAAAAAAGAGUUAACUACAAUAUAAAAUGAUAAUAUAGGCGUAUAAAUGUGGUUAUUAAUAAGUGGAUUUAAUAGUAAUUAUUUAUGUUUGAUUUUAUUUAUUAAGUGUACAAAUUGCCCGUCAAUCUCUAAGAGAUAAGUCGAAACAAAGUAGAGAUACUGGAAGGUAUUUCUA
rnacentral:rRNA from 1 species